AGUCACUGCUAUUGGGAUUCGACUAAGCCAUGCGAGUCGAAAGGGUUCGGCCCUCGGSUGACGGCUCAGUAACACGUAGAUAAUCUGCCUUGUGGGGGGGAUMUCCUCGGGAAACUGAGGAUAAUACUCCAUAGAUCUAGGAUGCUGGAAUGCAUCUAGAUUGAAAGCUCCGGCGCCUAAGGAUGAGUCUGCGGACUAUCAGGUUGUAGUCAGGGUAAAGACCUGACUAGCCUACGACGGAUACGGGUUGUGAGAGCAAUAACCCGGAGACGAUAUCUGAGACACGAUAUCGGGCCCUACGGGGCGCAGCAGGCGCGAAAACUUCACACUGUGCGAAAGCGCGAUGAGGGAAUCCCAAGUGUUUGCUCGUAAGAGUAAACUGUUUCUUUGUUUAAAACGCAGAGAGAGUAAGGGCUGGGUAAGACGGGUGCCAGCCGCCGCGGUAAUACCUGCAGCUCAAGUGGUGAUCAUUAUAUUGGGCCUAAAACGUCCGUAGCCGGUUUAGUAAAUGCCUGGGUAAAUCGUGUAGCUUAACUAUACGACUUCCGGGUAGACUGCUAAACUUGAGACCGGGAGAGGCUAGAGGUACUCCUGGGGUAGAGGUGAAAUUCUGUAAUCCUAGGGGGACCACCAGUGGCGAAGGCGUCUAGCUAGAACGGGUCUGACGGUGAGGGACGAAGCCCUGGGGCGCAAACCGGAUUAGAUACCCGGGUAGUCCAGGGUGUAAACGCUGCUUGCUUGAUGUUAGUUGGGCUCCGAGCCCAACUAGUGUCGGAGAGAAGUUGUUAAGCAAGCUGCCUGGGAAGUACGGUCGCAAGGCUGAAACUUAAAGGAAUUGGCGGGGGAGCACAGCAACGGGUGGAGCGUGCGGUUUA
rnacentral:rRNA from 1 species